rfam:Brachypodium distachyon strain Bd21 chromosome 4, whole genome shotgun sequence.
UAUAUACUCCUUCCGCCAAAAAAAGAUGUCUCAAGUUUGUCAAAAUAUGUAUGUAUCUAGACAUGACUUAGUGUAUAGAUGCAUUCAAAUUUGGUCAAUUUGAGACAUCUUUUGUUGGACGGAGGAGUACCAA